rnacentral:rRNA from 1 species
AUGUGAGUCUUUGCAGUAAUGCAAGGUAGACGGCUCAGUAACACGUAGUCAAUCUAACCUAUGGACAGGGAUAAUCUCGGGAAACUGAGCAUAAUACCUGAUAGAUCAUCAUGCCUGGAACGGUUGAUGGUUGAAAUGAUUUUUCGCCAUAGGAUGGGACUGCGGCCUAUCAGCUUGUUGGUGAGGUAAUGGCCCACCAAGGCUAUUACAGGUACGGGCUCUGAGAGGAGAAGCCCGGAGAUGGGUACUGAGACACGGACCCAGGUCCUAUGGGGCGCAGCAGGCGAGAAAACUUUGCAAUGUGCGAAAGCACGACAAGGUUAAUCCGAGUGUUUCCUGCUAAAGGAAUCUUUUGUUAGUCGUAAAAUCACUAUCGAAUAAGGGGUGGGCAAGUUCUGGUGUCAGCCGCCGCGGUAAAACCAGCACCUCAAGUGGUCAGGAGGAUUAUUGGGCCUAAAGCAUCCGUAGCCUGUUCUGUAAGUUUUCGGUUAAAUCCAUUAGCUCAACUAAUGGGCCGCCGAAAAUACUGUAGAACUAGGGAGUGGGAGAGGUAGACGGUAUUCGGUAGGAAGGGGUAAAAUCCUUUGAUCUAUUGAGGGCCACCUGUGGCGAAGGCGGUCUACCAGAACACGUUCGACGGUGAGGGAUGAAAGCUGGGGGAGCAAACCGGAUUAGAUACCCGGGUAGUCCCAGCUGUAAACGAUGCAGACUCGGUGAUGCCCUGGCUUGUGGCCAGUGCAGUGCCGCAGGGAAGCCGUUAAGUUUGCCGCCUGGGAAG